CAUCCCCCCAGUCGAGCCUUCAGAUGAGAGCACAGCCCCAGUCAACAGCUACAGUCUCUUGAAGAGAUCCUGAACCACAGGCAUCCAGACUGACUUAAAGAAAAAUGCAUCCCUAAAUACUCCAGUGUGUCUUCAAGAAACAAGGAAUUUUCUUACAUAACCACAGGAAACCAUCAAAAUGGAGCAAUGAACAUUGAAGCGACAUUAUCAUCUACUCCACAGAUCUUGACGUUUCCCUUUUGUCUAUUGUUCCAAUAACGUCCUUUAUACCAAAAGAAGAUCCCAGAUCGUGUGCUGAA